UACGAGGGGUGCAAGCGUUGCUCGGAAUUAUUGGGCGUAAAGGGUAGGUAGGUGGUCUCGUUUGUCUGGGGUGAAAGCCUUGGGCUUAACUCAAGAAGUGCCCCAGAAACGGCGAGACUAGAGUACUGGAGAGGAUCGUGGAAUACCCGGUGUAGCGGUGAAAUGCGUAGAGAUCGGGUGGAACACCAGAGGCGAAGGCGGCGAUCUGGACAGUAACUGACACUAAACUACGAAAGCGUGGGGAGCAAACAGG
rnacentral:rRNA from 1 species